GUUGCCCAGGCUGGCUUUGAACUUGUGAUCCUCCUGCCUCAGUCUCUUAAGUCUCUGAGAUUAUAGGCAUGCACCACCACACCCAGCUUUUUAGAGUCAUCUUUAACUUGUUCAAGUAUUUUCACAUGCUUUACAUUUUCUAAAUUCUAUAAAUGAUUAUUAGAUUGUUUCAUUCAAUAUACAUGAAAGAAUAUAAACCAAGUUUCUGAAUCAAGUGAAACUCUUUGAAGCUCAGAGUCCUCAAGUAGCAACUCAUUAAUGAAGCUGAGUUAACUACUCACACAUCUUUCCCUUUAGAGAAAAAAUUCUAGAGAUUCAUUAAACCAGGCAAAACUAGAAAAAUGACAUUGAACUUUUGAGAUUUAUAAGGAAUGAAAUCAAAUGAAAGUCAUCUUCUUAAAUUCUAAGUGAUGAUAAUUUGGAUAUGGCUUAUUUAAAGAGAGUAGAGACAACAUUACAAAUGAAAGAUAAUUUUAUUUUGUUGUAGAUUGAGAGUUUUCCAAAAACUUUUUAUAGCUAGAGAAAAUAAGAGUCCCUUAAACUUUUUUAAAAAAUUAGUACACUUGAUAAGCUCCAGUCUAAACUAUGUUAGAAUUUCUCUUAGGCAUAUUUCACAAUUCUGCUGCAAUAGAUUCUGAAACUUUUAUCACUUCCUUCCUAGCCUAGCCUCACCCUUUACCACAUUUUAAAUACAGAGCACAGAGAUAACCAACUCAACCCUACAUCUCAUAAUAGAACUGGAACUAAAGUACAAAGCUCCACUUCUUUAAAAAAAAAAAAAUGGGUUUGACGAUACAGCUUAGAGGUAUAGCACUUGCCUAGGGUGUACAAGGUCCUGGGUUCAAUGUCUAGCACUACAAGAAAAAGAAAGAAAAAAAAAGAGAAAAUCCUGAAUCAACUGUCUAAAUGUCAAUUUCUGAUGAAACAGGAUAGUGGGUAUUCAGGCAACUGAUACUUUUUGCUAUUCCUUCCUCUAACUGUGAACUAUAGCUUUAAAAUAAAUUUUUUUUAAAAAAAAUCCAUAUGGUCCAAAGUUAAUGGACAACUUAAUAACUGAAUGAGUUACUUUUACUGACUCUUAAUUAUUCAAGUUCUCUGCUUGGUCCAUGAGUGCUUAGAGGUCAGUUAUUUUUUUCAGUUUUCAGAGGAAGAAGCACGUGAAAAUAGUUCAGAGAAACCAAGAGAUUCUAGAGUAAGGGCAAUAAGCUGACGUCAGAAUUCCUGGGAGGGGAAGCAACCUAGUACUUCACGGCAUAAAAGGCAUUCACAGCCACAGCCCUGGUUAGACCCAGGAUCGCAGCCAAGUCAAUGCACUCAGACUGGCAAGAUUCUCAGGGAAACCUGGAAGACUGGAGCUUGAAAGGAUAUACAGAGCAAGAGCCCAAGUCACCAUUGCCCAAAUGGAGGAGUUGUUCCUGGAGAGGGUGCAAGAUUUGGGCCAUGAGGUGGCUGAGCAAGAACUGCAGCCCUGGCCCUGCUCGCAGCCUACCUGGGGGUGGGGUACAAAUGCCUGGAGCUUUCCUUGUUAUCUAUAAAAUACUAGCAAUGAAAGAAAGUCAGAGUAAGGAUACUCACCCUCUCAUUAACUUUCCUUCCUGGCAGCACACACCAUCUUUCCAAAUCUUGCUCCUGGGCCUGGAAACAGAAUUCCUCCUUAGAGGUUUCACACAAAGGAGCCAGAGGGCGGUGGUAGAGAAGGUUUAAAUGAGUUCAAGGUAUGAACAGGUGGGGAAAAGGGUUACACAGGAGGAGAGGGACAUAUGAGGUAAGUCAAAGAGAAGCCAAGGUCAGCCAUGGUCCUAUGACUACAAAGGCCCCUGGCCAAAUUGAGCAAUGCAUUUUCUUCUCUCUGCAGGGGAGAAAAGCCAGAAGAGACAGGUUCUGGGAGCUGCCUCUGAAAAUCCCAGCCUGCUUGGGGUAACAUUGCUGAGUAGAGCUAGUGGAGGGAUGAGACCCAGAGACACCGUGGGGUCCCCUAUUUGAAAACUACCUUUCCCAAGGAGGGUCAAAACUGCAGCUGGGAGCCCAAAGCUGGGCCAAACCUCAGAAAACCACAGUCCCUUUGGGACUUCGUGUCAACCUUUGGUCUGAACCUGCCCAAGACCAAGAUAUCUUAUGCUUCCUGCCAGCCUAAUCCUCCUGAAUAUGCUUUCAUCUCACCCCUCCCUGGACCAGAUCACUCCCCUGGCUCCGCAUUGCCUCCUUCUUCAAGUCUAAACUUCGCUUCCCUGUUCUUUACAUGCACAUUCCACCCCCACCCCGCCUCACUCCCCAUCCUCCAUCCCACACGUCCUGCUUUAGACACUACUAUCACCUCACUCUCCCCUGCAAUGUCCAUGAUCAUUCCUAACUCUGUUGUCUUUUCUCCUCUUCUUCUAUUCAGAAAACCAUGCUUCUUCCUCUGUCAAAAAACUAAUCUGCCUCUCCAUCAAGGUGUGGCUCACUUCUUCCAGGAAUCCUUCUUCUUUAUCAGUCCAUCUGGAUCGCUUCCAUCUAGAAAUGUCAUUCUAACAAUCCAAGAGCUGUACCAACACCAAUACUAACACUACUGCUAAGGCUAGUGCUAACACAGAUGGUAAAGCUUACUGGGUGCUCACCACAUGCUGGACUAAAUUCUUGGUCAUUUUGUGUGCUGACUCAUUUACUCCUCCCCAGAUCCUACAAGGUAGGUACUCUGAUUCAUUUUACAUAUUGGAAAAUAAUAAAGGGUAUAUAACAUGGCCUUAGUAAGUGCUCUCACAUUUGGUGGGUAUUUAAUAUACAAGUGGCCCUGGGUGUUAUCCAAUGAGAGGAGAAAGCUUCUCCCUUUUUCAGUGGUAGAGCCAUUGGUAACCCUUGGCAGCUUUAUUUAUGAAAAUAAAUCAUUCCUAAACUGAUUCAGGGUUUAGGACAAGCAGUAUUCAGGCUGAAUGGGAAGCAGGGAGCACAGGGAGAGUUGCAUUUAUCACAAUUAAUAUCUUGUGCCUUGUCAAAUAUCUGACAUACUGUGCCUGUGUAUUACCUCUUGUCUAAGGCAUGUGUAAACGUUCAGUUAAUAUUUAAUGGCCUCCACUGGAGAAGAACUCAUGGCUCAUGAUGAAGAUUGAUGUUGGACUUUUUAUUAUGAACAAUUUCAGACACACACACAAAAGUAGAAGAAUUUAAUAAGCUCCGUUGUACCUGUCACCCAGAUCCAACAAUAAUCAACUCUCAGGCUUGUUUCAUCUAUAUCCCACUUACCAGCCCCCAACCCCAAAUUAUUCUGAAGCAAAUCCAAGACACUGUGUCAUUUCAUGUUGAGAAUAUUUCAAAGAAAAAGGAAACGGAGAGGGAAAUAUACAUUGUACAUAAAUUUUACUUUUCCUUAAACAACAGAUGGAGCCUAGGAAAGAACAAGACACCCAGUCCCCAGGAAGGAGAGAAAAUAACACUCUCCCAUUUUAAUUGCUUUGCUACUGUAUAUUUACUCCAUAGAUUCUUGAUCAUAGUUCUGUAAAUUUAUAGCUUUAAUGUUCUCACUGGGGGUUGUCUCACCAGCUCCAAUUACAUUGGAAACACCUGGCAAGCAAGAUCCACAUUUUCCUCUUACUGAAUUUAACGUCAUGUGUUCUGCUGUUCCAUAGGACAUCUGGCUUGCCCUCCUCCCUCCCUUCCUUCUUAAUGUCUGCCUUCCUUUCUAACCAGUCUCCAGGCUUCAUAAUAAUGUCCUAACUUCCUUUUGUUACUCCCAUAAACAUUCACUAGAUACAGCUCCUGGUAUACAGUAGACAAAAUUGGAACGUGUAGCACACGUGGCAGGAAGGCAUCUCCCACAAGGUGAUGGUGCAGCUGAGUCUUACAGCGUUACCUGUACCUGCAGUGCACCUGUGGAAAUAUAUCUGAAAAUGUUCAUUUUUUAGCACCAGGGCUGUUUGAUCAUAUAGCCGAUUUAUGAACAAAAUCUGUAGAACUCAAAAGGAAAUGCAGAUCUGCCGAUUGGCUGCGGAAUUGGGGUUGUGCAGCAGGUAGUGACUGGUCAUUUGCCAUGUUCCAGGCAUGCUUCUAGACAUCAAGGACAAAGCAAUGAACAGACAACUGUACCUGCAGUGCACCUGUGGAAAUAUAUCUGGAAAUGUUCAUUUUUUAGCACCGGGCUGUUUGAUCAUGUAGCUGAUUUAUGGUAGUUACUUCUCAUUGGUAGUUACAAUUUGUUAUUUAUUACAAUGUUUGAUGGAUGGAUGAGUGGGAUAAUAAAUAAUGAGAAACAAAUGUCA